GCUCUGAAUGUGGAGGUGCAAACAGUGUCCUGAAAGUGAAUCUACAAGGACUACAGAACAAGUAAUAUUGAAAAAGAAGAACAACCAACAGGUAAUCAAAAGUAAAAUGGAAAGAACCUUUGCCUACAGAAGACAGGAAGUUGUUGGAAGAUAUGCCCUUCAUAGCAGAGUUCAAAAACAGAUGUCCAGCCCUGUUUUCUGAGAGCCAGGUAAAGUAUUAUUCAUCAUCUGUAUUUAAUUUAAAUACGUGGAAUUAAUGUCUAAAUACUGUAUUUGGGUAUAAAACAAAUGAGCCCAUAUUUAAUUGACAGGUUUGGAGGCAAUGUGGUAAGAAUCCAUGCAUGUGGUUGUUCUACUCUAUAUUACAAUGCACAUUACACAUACAUCCAUAUAAAUUGGUUACAGAUAAAUUGAACCACCAACUAAAAACAUUUAGCCAAAAGCAAACACAUGUUCCCUCUACACCAGGGUGUCACACUCAAGUUUCAGAGAGGGCAAAAAUUAAGAAAUGGUACUGAGUGCCAAACAGUCUUAUAGUGCUGUCUUAAUAUUAUUAUUAUUAUGAACACGCCAGCUCCACUUUUAAAGGCAAACUGGAUAUAAUUGUACCACGGCCAGAUGUAGCCCACAGAGUUUGAGUUUGACAUGCCUGCUCUACACCAUAUGUGAUCAUUUUAAAUAUAUUUGUUUUAACUUAAGAGACUCAUAGUGAAUUUGUGUUUUAAUACAGGUAAAUGCAGAAUUCACCCUCAUCACCACAGUCCCCCUGUUCUCAACCUUUAUGUCCCGACUGGAUCAUUACUCUAGCCAGCUAUUGAGGGUAUUCAAAAAGAAGGGGGGAACAGCAAGACAUGAUAUCGACGUAAUCAUUGCAGAAAUGGACAUGAAUCCCAGUGUUGAAGUACGACGGACAUGCAUCCUAAAGGCGUUGUGCGUCUACUUGAUUGAAAAGCCUGACAGCCUUAUUAAGGACUACUGGGCUACUGAGGAUACUGGUAUUGAUGCAAUGACGGAAAUGGAGAGACUGGCUUUGGGUGUCUACAUUGUUCGACAUGAUGGAGUAGAUGCUUCAGGUCCACCUGAGGAUGUUGCCGUCGUCAUUGAAGGCUGCACAGUGCUGCGAGAUCUGAGAGAGGUUGCAAAUGGAUGUGCAGUCCUGCUUGGCUUGAUCUACUGUUUAUCCCAAGGAGCUGCGAUACACUUUCGAAUUUCUUCAGAAAGUGUUUAUGGAAUUGGAUGGGAACAAGCUCUCCACUUAAGUGCAGGUCCUCAAAAACAAACUGCAUGAGUAAAAUCACCUGCACCAGACAAGACUGAACCUGGCUUUGGACACUUGAAUUGUGUUGACUUACUUUAUUUUUGGACUGCUGCUAGACAAAAUAAAGCUGUGAUCAAUGAUGGUUUGUAAUAAGCAGACAGGACUGCAGUUGGUCAUCGACUUGCUUGGGGAGGCUCAGUUCUUUGGAUUUUGGACUGCUUUGUUACGUAAAUAUUGCUGAUUUUCUAUUUCUCCUUUUGAUGAAAACUGUAAACAUUGUAUUUUUCAUAAAAAUGUUCUUGAUAAGUCAGCAUGUAUGUAAAGUCUGAACUUAGUAUGUUCUAACGGUGAAGUGAGAAUUUUCUGCAGCAUAAAUCUUGAUUGUAAACUUCAGUUAAUUUAACCUCCCUCCAUAUAGAAAACAAGGAUUUGCCUCUUUAGUUUUUAUUUCAGUAGGCAACACCUGUUAAGACAUUGUUGACGUCAAAUAUUGUUGAUUUAAUAUAAAGCUAUAAUGGGAUUGAACAUUAUCGGAUGGUGAAGAUUCACAAACAAGUUUUAUAUUUUUGAAUUAUUAUUUAUAUUUGUCUAUUGGCAUUUUAUACGUGGACUUAUGUUGGUUUCUUCAAUUGUAUUUGUACACUUUGUAUUCAUAUGUAAGUUUUGCUUACAUAUUUGUAAUAAUUUUAUCAGUCAUGAUAAUCCCAGAUAUAGUAAUGUACCUUGAAGGUCAACAUUAAUUUUUUGACUUAAUUAUAUUUCAAAACCAAAGGUGAAUAAAGUUAAAGUGACUCGAGUAGUUUUCUUUUUUAACCGAGCAAGUAUAAUCAACACAAAUGGAUAACAUUAGCAAAGCUUAAUUUUGUUUAAUAAAUUGAACUUAAUCAAGUUAUGUUAGUUCAAGCUAUAGUCAUUAAAUUCUAGACAAUAAUUUACAUUUAUUCAAAAUAAUUGUGUAAUGUCCCAUUUAAUUAACACCGUUAUGAAUGAUUUACUUAAAACAUUAUGUUACAAUUAAUUGUAUAUUACCUUUUCCAUUUAAGCAACUAAGUUUUGUGGGACCGGUUGACAUAACUUUAUUAAUUAAAUACAACAUUUCAUUUCUUAGAGUGUAUGCAAUGGUAUCAGCAGAAGGAUACAGCCAUGGUCUUGAUCGUCUUCAGUUUCAGUGCUACAAGUGAACCCACGUUUGAAGAUGGAUUUAAAGGCCGGACUGAACUGGACAGAACAGAAACACUGAAGGGAGUCCUGAAAAUCUCUGAUCUCAGUUCAUCAGACUCGGCUGUUUAUUACUGUGCUGUCAAAAGGCACAGUGCUGUAGUCUUUAUUACCUGCCUGACUAAAAACCAAGCCCCCAGACAAACAGGAAAUGCAAUACGUACAAAAGAGGAAUCUAACUUCUGUUUCUUUUUCUUUUUUUCAGAUUUUCUUUUUCAAAGAUUUUUGUACUUUCUGUCAGUUUUUAAUUGAAAACACAAUCAAAUAUAAGCUUUCCUCCAAAACUAGUAGACCUACCUAGACAACAUUUUAAGGCAUCAUGUAUGCUGGCCAAAUUUUACAGUAACAUAUCCUUCACAGAUAACACAAUACCAGGAUGCAUUGCGACAGUAUCUGUGAAACAUACAAGAUGAUGGAUGCAGUCGAGAGAAAUAUUUCCAAUAAAUACUUACAUUUCAUGCAACAAAAACAGUUUCAGUCAAAUCCACAGCAAAAUAUUCUGUUGCUGGGGGCUACAUUGUUAUUUCUUCCUCUAAUGAGGAAGGUUUUGGAACUAAUUUCACAGUGUCAAGUACAGAGACUAAUUAAUGGACCCUGAAAGUGGAUGUUAAUGAUGGGAUUGAUGCUGUGUAUCUGUGUGCUGCUAGUUUACACACACACAAAAAUAAUUGCUUUAACAAAAAAUGCAAUAAAAUCCUGCAAUCACACCUGCCUUAACCAUGAAUAAAUAAGCCCAUAUUUGUACAAACCAGUCAGCAGAACCUGACAACUUGCACAUUCAAAUGAAUUAAUCAUGUCACACUCCUCCCUUCCGCCCUUCCUCCCUUCUUCUCUGUCUAUACUAAAGACUCAUACAAUCUCUAUCAUCACAUUAUUUUUGUUGUGUGCGUAACCAGAGUAUUUGUAACGCUGUUGUAGAAGUAUGUUUAGAGCUGCAUAUGGACUGUGCAUUUAUUUCUUAUUAUACAUAGGUAAGAUGUCUUUUGAUAGUAACAUGAACAAAUUAUUAUAAUUUAUCAUUUUCGUUUAUGUUCUUUGCUUUGAAAGAGAACAUCUCUUAAAACAUUUUUGUAUUUUACAGGGAUGGUGAAAUGUGUGAAUGUUCAACAGAACCCAACACCCAUAUUAGCCAGCGCGAAGAAUAUAACAGACAUAAAUUGUAGUUAUGAUGACAGUAACAAGCCAAACAUGUUAUGGUAUCAGCAGAAGGAUACAGCCAUGGUCUUGAUCGUGUUAAGUUACAGUGCUACAAGCAGGGCCGCGGGAAGUAAUUUUGAACAGGGGGUGCUGUGAAAUUUUUUUUUUUUUUUUUUUUUUUUUUUUUGACAAAAAACCUAUGAGCCUAUAUAGGCCUAUUUAAAAUACAUUUUAAAAAUAAAUACAUUGAGAUUUACUACUUUUAUUGUCAUAUACACUUCAGUGCACAGCCAGCCAGGGUCUGAAACGUACAGACAUCAGUUCUCAGAUAUGCGCAAUGGGUUAUUAAUCUGAAGCAGAAGCAGAAUCAGAAAUAAUAGUUUAAUAAUCGAAAGAAAACUAAAUAAUUACUUUCAUUACAAUUUCAGAUAGCCUAUACAUACAUGCAACAUAUUAAGAUACAACAAAUAAUAUUACAACAAAAUAUAAUAUUAAUCAAACUUCACAAUAACGCUAAAACAAUGCAAUCGAUUUGGUCAGCUGGCUUGAGUCACUGCACGUUUAUGUCACACGCAACUCUAUUAACUCCAAAAUCUUUUUACGCACACCACAAGGAAAUAAUCUCUGACUAUUUAAGCAAUUUGUUUAUUGAACAGUUCUCCACAUCCAUUACGCAAAGAACACACGCACAGUAUAAAGCUUUCAUCUCCAACCUUUUUACACAAACCACAAGGAAAUAAUCUCCGACUAUUUAAACUUUAUUUUAACAUUUCUCCACAAUAAUUACGCAAGGAACACACGAACGAAAUAAUACUCUCCAUCUCCAUCCCCACCACCUUACAAAAAUACUAUAAUAGUGUACUACUUACAAUUGCUUGGCUAGUCAAAGCUGAUCCCACACUUGUUGCCAAAAAAAUAAAUGUUACAAGCGCGGCAGCACCAUGCUCUUACCUGAGCUACAUGUAGGCGGGGUGCCCUGGACUGGUUACAGGUGUCCAAAUGUCGAGGUGCGCUGUAUUAUAUAAAGAUGGAUGUAUUCUGCAUGGAACGAGCAAAAUAUUUUAAUAGGCCUACAUUUUUUUUUAUCUCCCUCUCGUCACUAGGGGGUGCUGCAGCACCCCCAGCACCCCCACUUCCCGCGGCCAUGGCUACAAGUGACCCCACCUAUGAGGAUGGAUUUAAAGACCGGUUUGAACUGAAAAGAACAGAAACACUGAAGGGAGUUCUGAAAAUCUCUGAUCUCAGUUCAUCAGACUCGGCUGUUUAUUACUGUGCUGUCAGUAUGCACAGUGCUGUAGUCUUUAUUACCUGCCUGACUAAAAACCAAACCACCAGACAAACAGGAAAUGCACAAAAAAGCCAAUCUAAUGUUCAUGAGGUUCAAAUGUGACACUAAUGAAAAGGCUUGUUACAGCAUUUAAUUUCUACAUCAAAUAAUAUUUUUGUACAGUUUUUAAUAGAAAACACAAUCAGAUAUAAGUGUUGCUCCCAAACUGAGUACAGGAUCUACCCA
ensembl:lncRNA